rnacentral:rRNA from 1 species
GGUUAAGCGACUAAGCGUACACGGUGGAUGCCCUGGCAGUCAGAGGCGAUGAAGGACGUGCUAAUCUGCGAAAAGCGUCGGUAAGGUGAUAUGAACCGUUAUAGCCGGCGAUGUCCGAAUGGGGAAACCCAGUGCAAUUCGUUGCACUAUCGUUAACUGAAUACAUAGGUUAACGAGGCGAACCGGGGGAACUGAAACAUCUAAGUACCCCGAGGAAAAGAAAUCAACCGAGAUUCCCCCAGUAGCGGCGAGCGAACGGGGAGCAGCCCAGAGUCUGAAUCAGCUUGUGUGUUAGUGGAACGGUCUGGAAAGUCCGACGGUACAGGGUGAUAGUCCCGUACACCAAAAUGCACAGGCUGUGAACUCGAAGAGUAGGGCGGGACACGUGGUAUCCUGUCUGAAUAUGGGGGGACCAUCCUCCAAGGCUAAAUACUCCUGACUGACCGAUAGUGAACCAGUACCGUGAGGGAAAGGCGAAAAGAACCCCGGCGAGGGGAGUGAAAAAGAACCUGAAACCGUGUACGUACAAGCAGUGGGAGCACCUUCGGGUGUGACUGCGUACCUUUUGUAUAAUGGGUCAGCGACUUAUAUUCUGUAGCAAGGUUAACCGUAUAGGGGAGCCGCAGGGAAACCGAGUCUUAACUGGGCGUUAAGUUGCAGGGUAUAGACCCGAAACCCGGUGAUCUAGCCAUGGGCAGGUUGAAGGUUGGGUAACACUAACUGGAGGACCGAACCGACUAAUGUUGAAAAAUUAGCGGAUGACUUGUGGCUGGGGGUGAAAGGCCAAUCAAACCGGGAGAUAGCUGGUUCUCCCCGAAAGCU